AAUGACAGCCGAAUCUCAAGUCAUCGAUCGACCUUCCUCAAGACCGCGAUUCUAACCUAACUUUGUUUGUUAUUGUUUGAAUUUUGAAUAUUUUUAAUUCAGUUCCAACAUAUAUUUUUUGUUUUUCUAAUUACAAUAAAAAUGUAUGAAGAAGUAAAAGCAUUUUUAGAGUUUAUUGAUAAUAUUGGAGAAGAAAAUCGGCCGGGAAGUAUACAAAAGCGAUAUAUUCAAGAUAAAAAUAUAAUCUAAAAUACAAUGGAGUAUUACAAUAUUGAAGUUCAUCAGCGAAUCAGCGCAUUAACUUAAACAACAAAGGUUUUAUGCUACUUAUAGGAAUAUAACCAGUUUUUAUGAGGAAGCCCACUUUCCAAAAAUGUGCAGGUACUAGAAGAGAAAUUACUGUUCAACUGAGAAUUAUGUAUAUUACUGUUCAACAACAAGUUUAUCAAGUCAUUCAAUAUUUGAUCUAAGAGCAUUAAGAGUGAAAUUGUGAAAUGGAAAGAAGUGAAAUUCCAGGAUUAUUAAUAGGAAUAGAUGACAGUAGUGGGUAUGCAUGCAGACACUAUCUACUUACCCCAGUAUUACAGCCAGGUAAUGAUCAAGAAAAUAAGAUAUUUUUACCAUAGUACUCAUGUGAGAACAAGAAAUGUAGAAAAGCUAUUUGGAACCUGGAAAAGAGAGUUUCCUUUCUUCAACAAGGUCUACAAAUCAAAUUAUAUACAUGUCUUGCAAUAAUAUGUGCUACAGCAGUACCUUACAAUCUAGGUAAAUAAUGAUCUGGUGGUAAAUAGACAUGUUAAUGAUGUGGAACAAUCUCUAAAUUUUUGGUGACAUUUUUUUCAACAAUAUUUUGCAUGAGAAUACAUUAUUGAAUACCUA
rnacentral:lncRNA from 1 species